rnacentral:piRNA from 1 species
UACUAAAAUAUAAGUGCUGUUGGUGUUGC